rnacentral:rRNA from 1 species
GACGAACGCUGGCAGCGUGCCUAAUACAUGCAAGUCGAGCGGACCACUUCGGUGGUCAGCGGCGGACGGGUGAGUAACACGUGGGCAACCUGCCUGUAAGACUGGGAUAACACCGGGAAACCGGUGCUAAUACCGGAUAAUCCUUUCCUUCACAUGAGGGAAAGCUGAAAGACGGUUUCGGCUGUCAUUUACAGAUGGGCCCGGGGCGCAUUAGCUAGUUGGUGAGGUAACGGCUCACCAAGGCAACGAUGCGUAGCCGACCUGAGAGGGUGAUCGGCCACACUGGGACUGAGACACGGCCCAGCCUCCUACGUGAGGCAGCAGUAGGGAAUCUUCCGCAAUGGACGAAAGUCUGACGGAGCAACGCCGCGUGAGCGAUGAAGGCCUUCGGGUCGUAAAGCUCUGUUGUCAGGGAAGAACAAGUACCGGAGUAACUGCCGGUACCUUGACGGUACCUGACCAGAAAGCCACGGCUAACUACGUGCCAGCCGCCGCCGUAAAAC